rnacentral:rRNA from 1 species
AGCAGCCGCGGUAAUUCUAGCUCCAAUAGCGUAUAUUAAAGUUGUUGCAGUUAAAAAGCUCGUAGUUGAAUUUCGGGAUCAAUUUAUUGGUCGUGCUAUUGUACGUACUGGUAUUAUUGAUUUCUACCUUCUGACGAACCAUGAUGUCAUUAAUUUGGUGUCUUGGGGAAUCAGGACUGUUACUUUGAAAAAUUAGAGUGUUUAAAGCAGGCUCACGCUUGAAUACAUUAGCAUGGAAUAACGAAAUAGGACGUUUGAUUCUAUUUUGUUGGUUUCUAGGAUCGACGUAAUGAUUAAUAGGGAUAGUUGGGGGCAUUAGUAUUCAAUUGUCAGAGGUGAAAUUCUUGGAUUUAUUGAAGACUAACUACUGCGAAAGCAUUUGCCAAGGAUGUUUUCAUUAAUCAAGACGAAAGUUAGGGGAUCGAAGACGAUCAGAUACCGUCGUAGUCUUAACCAUAAACUAUGCCGGCUAGGGAUCGGAUGAUGUUAAUUUUUAAUGACUCAUUCGGCGCCUUAAC